rnacentral:misc_RNA from 1 species
GAUGAAGAACGUAGCGAAAUGCGAUAAGUAAUGUGAAUUGCAGAAUUCAGUGAAUCAUCGAAUCUUUGAACGCACAUUGCGCCCGCCAGUAUUCUGGCGGGCAUGCCUGUCCGAGCGUCAUUUCAACCCUCGAACCCCUCCGGGGGGUCGGCGUUGGGGAUCGGCCCUUUCACCGGGUGCCGUCCCCCAAAUACAGUGGCGGUCUCGCCGCAGCCUCUCAUACGCAGUAGUUUGCACACUCGCACCGGGAGCGCGGCGCGUCCACGUCCGUAAAACACCCCAAACUUCUGAAAUGUUGACCUCGGAUCAGGUAGGAAUACCCGCUGAACUUAAGCAUAUCAAUAAGCGGAGGA